UGCCGCUGCUGGUCAGGGUCGAUGUUCACCCACACACUUCCUGUCCAUUUGAAGCCCCGAGUGACUAAGCAGUCGCCGUGCAGAGAGAAUUCAUCCAGCUCUCCAACCCAACCUGACGGAAAUAUGUGAAGAACAACAAUGUCACAAAUACAGGAAAUGGAGGCAUGUGAAAAAGAGAAACUCACCAUUUCCAUCGGAGAGGUGGUUGUACCACAGCAGAGCGGUUCCAGCUACAGGUUUGACCUUCAGAUUGCCUUUAUCACAGUACUGCUGAGAGAGAUCACCUAAGACCUGCAACACACACACACACACACACAC